AUUGAACGCUGGCGGCAGGCUUAACACAUGCAAGUCGAGCGGUAGCACAAGAGAGCUUGCUCUCUGGGUGACGAGCGGCGGACGGGUGAGUAAUGUCUGGGAAACUGCCUGAUGGAGGGGGAUAACUACUGGAAACGGUAGCUAAUACCGCAUAACGUCGCAAGACCAAAGAGGGGGACCUUCGGGCCUCUUGCCAUCAGAUGUGCCCAGAUGGGAUUAGCUAGUAGGUGGGGUAAUGGCUCACCUAGGCGACGAUCCCUAGCUGGUCUGAGAGGAUGACCAGCCACACUGGAACUGAGACACGGUCCAGACUCCUACGGGAGGCAGCAGUGGGGAAUAUUGCACAAUGGGCGCAAGCCUGAUGCAGCCAUGCCGCGUGUGUGAAGAAGGCCUUCGAGUUGUAAAGCACUUUCAGCGAGGAGGAAGGUGGUGAACUUAAUACGUUCAUCAAUUGACGUUACUCGCAGAAGAAGCACCGGCUAACUCCGUG
rnacentral:rRNA from 1 species